UACGGAGGGAGCUAGCGUUGUUCGGAAUUACUGGGCGUAAAGCGCACGUAGGCGGCUUUGUAAGUUAGAGGUGAAAGCCCGGGGCUCAACUCCGGAACUGCCUUUAAGACUGCAUCGCUUGAAUCCAGGAGAGGUGAGUGGAAUUCCGAGUGUAGAGGUGAAAUUCGUAGAUAUUCGGAAGAACACCAGUGGCGAAGGCGGCUCACUGGACACGUAUUGACGCUGAGGUGCGAAAGCGUGGGGAGCAAACAGG
rnacentral:rRNA from 1 species